GAACAUUUGGUAAACGAAUGCUAAUACCGCAUAAGACCACAGUGUCGCAUGGCACAGGGGUCGAAAGGAUUUAUCCGCUGAAAGAUGGGCUCGCGUCCGAUUAGCUCGAUGGUGAGGUAACGGCCCACCAUGGCGACGAUCGGUAGCCGGACUGAGAGGUUGAUCGGCCACAUUGGGACUGAGACACGGCCCAGACUCCUACGGGAGGCAGCAUG
rnacentral:rRNA from 1 species